GCCGGUGUAGCUCAGGGGUAGAGCAACUGAUUCGUAAUCAGUAGGUCCACAGUUCAAAUCUGUGCACCGGCACCA
rnacentral:tRNA from 1 species